rnacentral:lncRNA from 1 species
UAGUGUUAAUAUUAAAGACAAAUCGAGGAGGGAGGAGAGGCAAGGGAGGGCGUGGAUGACAAGGCGGCCUAGCCAAGAGACAAUCCGCCUCUAUUUUGGGUUGUGGUAACGUGCUAUUCGAGCACAUAUUGGCAGCAGAUGCUCGGUAGCCUACAGGAGCAAGAUCAUGACCAAGGGCCAUACAAAAAUACUCUACAUGAUCCAUUAGUCAUAAGGUAUUUAGGCAGUUCCAAUCACCCUUUGUUCAAUCUUUUGUGUCUAGGAUAUCAACACAUUAUUUUAUUUUUUAUUUAGUUUGUGUGAACAGGACAAAGACAUCGAUUGUAAAUAAAUGUGCUGCUGCUGUGCAUGCUUAAUGCUAGCUAGCCUGGAGUAGUAUGGCAAGUAGGUGUCGCGCGUCUGCUGCUGUGCUAAGGGCAUGUACAACCCAUAGACGGAGGCCCGUCUCUAAACACCUUGAAUCUAU